UCGGCGGGCUGAUGCGCACGUUCACGCCGGAAAUAUCGGCAGACGGCUCUCCGUGCCGUAGGCGCCGCCCAGGCUCGACUCCAUGGCCCUGCCAUCCUUGGAGCAAGUGCAGAGAAGCAGUAAAUUACUCUCAUCAGCUAGGCAUCAAGCAGAUUACAGUCCAUUGCAAGUUAUGGAGAAGCAGUAAGUUACUCUCAUCAGCUAGGCAUCGAGCAGAUUCAGUCCAUUGCAAGGUUUGCAGCUGGGAGAAGCCCAGAGAUUUAGAGUACCGCUUCAACAAGUUUCCGCUGAUUCAGCUGUAGUACCAAACUUUUUUGAUGGAUUCUGUUGGUUAAAUGUAUUAUGGAGAGCUUCCGCCUCCCUGUGAUUCAGCUGGAUUUCCGUUAAACGGUUGAGGAAAGGCUCGUCGAGUCUCCAAUGGUUUUCUUUUCCAAGCGCCGGAUGCUCGCCGAUACGGGUCGUGUGGAAGAAAAUUGUCCAAGCGCCCGGCAAUUGAUUAAAUCUGUGCAGCAGAGCAGAAGGGAUGUGGG